rnacentral:misc_RNA from 1 species
UCCCGGUAUGAUUCAAACUUAUCGAAGUUUCUAGUUAACCCGUUUUCGAAAGAACGAUAAUUAUUAACGGUGUAUUUUGUUCGUCACGUGAAAGCUGUGACUCAUUGCUCGUUUCUUUCCGUACCAUGCUAGUUUGAUUUGAUUUAGAACUCGAAUAUAAUGAAUAUUUAAUAAUGGUGAAUUCAGCAAGUAAUCAUGACAGCACGAAUAAUACGCGAAACAAUUAUGUCGAACAAAGUUCGAAAAUGAACAACAUUGUGCAUGCAAGCGGUUGCAACGAGACUACACGGAUGCUUUAGAGACAUAAAUAUGGCAAUAAAUUUAACGAGAAUGCUGCUGGUGUAUUCUUGGAAAAUUACGAAUGAAAAAAUAUUUAUAUUUUACGACUUCCUGAGUGACCCUGGUAAAAGAGAAAUGAUUAAGGCCAGAAAGCUCUCUGUGGCCAACAAGUAUUGAUUCAUUCUGUAUAUUGUAUUUUUGUUGACAUGUUUAUAAUGACGUUAAAAAGUGAUAAAAUAUUCAUUCGUUAUUAAAAUUCUGUAUAUUGGCUACAAAAUGAUUAAAAAAAAAAAAAAAAAGAAAAAAAACGGAAUAAAUAAAGCGAAAUAAAAACUGGCGAUGAUGGCUUUUAAUGGUCCAUCGUUUGAACGAGAAUGGAUGGUGAAAUGGAAAUGAUCUGCGUUCUCAUUCAUCCACGGCAGAUAUAUGUAUACGUAUAUCAAACGAUGUUAAAAAAGAUAGUCGAGAAAUGUUGGCUACUAUCCAUCAUGUUAUCAGAAAAUGUGGAAAUUCCUCGAUGAGAUAAUAAUGCUUCCACAUAUACAGCCACAUCAAUGCAAAAGUAGUUCCCUUGAUCUUAUUUUUCAACAAGGAUCUGCAUGUUGAUUUGGUUAAUUUGCAGUGAUCAAUUGCUAGGAAGAAAUUUUAACUAUCAAAGUGUACUAUGAUAUAAAUAUCGAAUUAAAUAAAUAAAUUUCCAAUAUUUAAUAAAACGCAUGCGACAUAGAAAAAAGGAACACUCGAAAGGAAAAUGAAAUCGCACGGAUUCGAAUGAAUAUUCAUGAUCAAUGAAAUACUAGUUUUUCCGCGCUGAAAAGACGGCAAAACGUUUAGAAAUUGCGGUACACGUAGGUAUACGUGUAUUUUGAGAAAAGUUUGGUAAGCGGGUGGUGACGAUAAAUAAGAAAAGGUGCGCAUAAUUUUAUAAAAUAAUAUUUCAUUCGUUUGCAACAUCGCAACGAAACAGGUAGCAAUAAUUCGUCGCCACGAAUAUUCUCACGUCUUAUAAAAGAUUACCACAGGACAGAUUUUUGGCAUCGAUUUAAUUUCCUUGCUUUUUUACGAAUAAUUGCUGAGUAAUACGUAUGCGUACAUCUGUUCAACGCGAACAUUAAAUUCUCGAAGCUCCUAAAAGUUCUAAAACUUCAGCCAAAAUGAAAUUUAUAAAAUA